rnacentral:lncRNA from 1 species
AUUCCUCCGUGACCUUCAAAGGCCAGAUGAAUCCCACCCCACUUUCCACAGAUCUUUCUUCCUACCAGCCCAACCACUGCAACCUCUCCCUCUUUGAAACGCCUGCAAGGCUGUUGUUUAUUUUUUUUAGGUUGUAAAUGGCAGAGAAACCAACUUCAGUGGGCUUAGCAAGAGGGGCUGUUUAUUGGCUGGUGAGUCUGAAAAGCCUUGGGGUUAACGCUGCCUUCUUAUAUAUUGGAUUCAGCUUUCCUCUUUGCAAACACCAGCAUCUCAGUCUCUCCAACCGAAUUCUCAGUUCCUGCCUGGUAGCCUGGGGUAGAUCACUUCUCUUGCUGAUCCCCAGUUCACCGUGCUUCUGCCCUCAUCCGGAGCACACGUAUGGUGGGAGACCACGAAAUAAAGCCAUUCCGGGAUGGUGUGAUGGAUGCUUUACCGAACCUAAAAGGAGACGAAGGAGUCCUUCUGGAUGAGGUUCAGCUGAGAUCCCAGUGGAUGCCACGUUCCAAAGCGGAGCCUGAGGCCCCACACAGGAGGUGGUGGAGAUCAAAGCUGUUUUUCGGUAAACAGCGAGGACCUACCAUAUAACACAGGGACCUACAUUCAAUAUCUCGUACCUAUAAUGGAAAAGAAUCGGAAAAGGAAUAUAUAUGUAUGUAUAUAUAUAUGUAUUUAUAUUUAUAUAUGACUGAACCAUCUUGCUAUACACCUGAAACUAACACAACAUUGUAAAUCAACUAUACUUCAAUUAAAAACAUGAAAAAUAAAAGUAACAAACCCAUUGCA